rnacentral:rRNA from 1 species
CUUGCUUCUCUUGAGAGCGGCGGACGGGUGAGUAAUGCCUAGGAAUCUGCCUGGUAGUGGGGGAUAACGUCCGGAAACGGACGCUAAUACCGCAUACGUCCUACGGGAGAAAGCAGGGGACCUUCGGGCCUUGCGCUAUCAGAUGAGCCUAGGUCGGAUUAGCUAGUUGGUGGGGUAAUGGCUCACCAAGGCGACGAUCCGUAACUGGUCUGAGAGGAUGAUCAGUCACACUGGAACUGAGACACGGUCCAGACUCCUACGGGAGGCAGCAGUGGGGAAUAUUGGACAAUGGGCGAAAGCCUGAUCCAGCCAUGCCGCGUGUGUGAAGAAGGUCUUCGGAUUGUAAAGCACUUUAAGUUGGGAGGAAGGGCAGUAAAUUAAUACUUUGCUGUUUUGACGUUACCGACAGAAUAAGCACCGGCUAACUCUGUGCCAGCAGCCGCGGUAAUACAGAGGGUGCAAGCGUUAAUCGGAAUUACUGGGCGUAAAGCGCGCGUAGGUGGUUCGUUAAGUUGGAUGUGAAAUCCCCGGGCUCAACCUGGGAACUGCAUUCAAAACUGACGAGCUAGAGUAUGGUAGAGGGUGGUGGAAUUUCCUGUGUAGCGGUGAAAUGCGUAGAUAUAGGAAGGAACACCAGUGGCGAAAGCGACCACCUGGGACUGAUACUGACACUGAGGUGCGAAAGCGUGGGGAGCAAACAGGA